UACGUAGGGUGCGAGCGUUAAUCGGAAUUACUGGGCGUAAAGCGUGCGCAGGCGGCGCGUUAAGACAGGUGUGAAAGCCCCGAGCUUAACUUGGGAAUUGCGCUUGUGACUGGCGUGCUGGAGUGUGGCAGAGGGAGGUGGAAUUCCACGUGUAGCAGUGAAAUGCGUAGAGAUGUGGAGGUACACCGAUGGCGAAGGCAGCCUCCUGGGCCAGCACUGACGCUCAUGCACGAAAGCGUGGGGAGCAAACAGG
rnacentral:rRNA from 1 species